GGUCGAAUGGUGUAGUUGGUCAUCACGUCAGUCUAACACACUGAAGGUCUCCAGUUCAAACCUGGAUUCGAUCA